rnacentral:rRNA from 1 species
UACAGAGGGGGCUAGCGUUGUUCGGAAUUACUGGGCGUAAAGGGCGCGUAGGUGGCCUGUUAAGUCGAACGUGAAAUCCCCGGGCUCAACCCGGGAACUGCGUCCGAUACUGGCAGGCUUGAAUCCGGGAGAGGGAUGUGGAAUUCCAGGUGUAGCGGUGAAAUGCGUAGAUAUCUGGAGGAAUACCGGUGGCGAAGGCGGCAUCCUGGGCCAAUACUGACGCUGAGGCGCGAAAGCUAGGGGAGCAAACGGG